rnacentral:rRNA from 1 species
CUUUAGAUAUGAUCCAGAGUACCACGGGACACGUGAAACCCUGUGGGAAGCAGGAGGGACCACCCUCCAAGGCUAAAUACUACCUAGUGACCGAUAGCGUAUAGUACCGUGAGGGAAAGGUGAAAAGAACCCCGGGAGGGGAGUGAAAUAGAACCUGAAACCCUGCACUUACAAGCUGUGGAAGCACAUUUCUUGUGUGACCGCGUACUUUUUGUAGAACGGGCCAACGAGUUACGUUAAGUAGCAAGGUUAAGCACUUAAGGUGCGGAGCCGUAGCGAAAGCGAGUUUUAACUGAGCGUUCAGUUACUUGACGUAGACCCGAAACCGGGCGACCUACCCAUGAGCAGGAUGAAGCGAAAGUAAAAUUUCGUGGAGGUCCGAACCCACGAGCGUUGAAAAGCUCGGGGAUGACUUGUGGGUAGCGGUGAAAUUCCAAUCGAGCCCGGAGAUAGCUGGUUCUCCCCGAAAUAGCUUUAGGGCUAGCCUCAAGGUGAGAGAUACGGAGGUAGAGCACUGAAUGUCCUAGGGGGUAUUGCACCUACCGAAGACUAUCAAACUCCGAAUGCCGUCAUCUUAUACUUGGGAGUCAGACUGUGGGUGAUAAGAUUCAUAGUCGAAAGGGCAACAGCCCAGAUCGUCAGCUAAGGUCCCUAAAUGUAAGUUAAGUGGUAAAGGAUGUGGGAUUGCACAGACAACCAGGAUGUUGGCUUAGAAGCAGCCACUCAUUCAAAGAGUGCGUAAUAGCUCACUGGUCGAGUGAUCCUGCGCCGAAGAUUUCCGGGGCUAAAACUUACUACCGAAGCUACGGCAUCAGUAAUGAUGGGUAGGGGAGCUUCCCAUACGGGUUGAAGCAUGACCGUAAGGACAUGUGGACAGUAUGGGAGUGAGAAUGUUGGCAUGAGUAGCGAGAUGUGGGUGGGAAUCCCACAGGCCGUAAACCCAAGGUUUCCAGGGGAAGGUUCGUCCACCCUGGGUUAGUCGGGACCUAAGCUGAGGCCGAAAGGCGUAGGUGAUGGACAACAGGUUGAUAUUCCUGUACUACCGAUAACCGUUUGAGAGAAGGGAUGACACAGUAGGAUAAGCUAAGCACACUGUUGGUUAUGUGUGCCCAAGCAUUGAGGCAGUCAAAGUAGGCAAAUCCGCUUUGAUAAUGCUGGGAUGUGAUGGGGAGCGAAAUUUAGUAGCGAAGUAGCUGAUUUCACACUGUCAAGAAAAGUCUCUAUCGAGGUUAAAGGUACCCGUACCGCAAACCGACACAGGUGGGUGAGGAGAGUAUCCUAAGGCCAGCGAGAGAACUGUUGUUAAGGAACUCGGCAAAAUGACCCCGUAACUUAGGGAUAAGGGGUGCCACCAUCAGGUGGCCGCAGAGAAUAGGCCCAAGCGACUGUUUACCAAAAACAUAGGUUUCUGCUAAGUCGCAAGACGAUGUAUAGGAGCUGACGCCUGCCCGGUGCUGGAAGGUUAAGGGGAUCUGUUAGAGCAAUCGAAGCAGUGAACUUAAGCCCCAGUAAACGGCGGCCGUAACUAUAACGGUCCUAAGGUAGCGAAAUUCCUUGUCGGGUAAGUUCCGACCCGCACGAAAGGCGUAACGAUUUGGGCACUGUCUCAACAACAGACUCGGUGAAAUUGUAAUUCCGGUGAAGAUGCCGGAUACCUGCGACAGGACGGAAAGACCCCAUGGAGCUUUACUGUAGCUUGACAUUGGGUCUUGGUACUACAUGUACAGGAUAGGUGGGAGGCUUUGAAACCAGGACGCCAGUUUUGGCGGAGCCAUCCUUGGGAUACCACCCUUGUAGUACUGGGACUCUAACCAUAGGCCAUGAAUCUGGUC